AACCUUCAAGCUCGAGGCAAAACAAUCAUGACGAAGAAAAGUGCUGAAACGUCUCGAGCUGAUGUGAGACCCAAGAAACCCACUGGGGUGAAGAUCCAAGAAGGGAAACAAGAAGAGAAGAGUCAAAAGAAAGAUGAUAGCAUUGAUACUACCACGACUUCAAAACGCUCGAAGCAUGCGGU